rnacentral:rRNA from 1 species
AACGAACGCUGGCGGCAGGCUUAACACAUGCAAGUCGAGCGCCCCGCCAGGGGAGCGGCAGACGGGUGAGUACGCGUGGGAACGUACCUUUUGGUUCGGAACAACUCCGGGAAACUGGAGCUAAUACCGGAUAAGCCCUAACGGGGAAAGAUUUAUCGCCGAAAGAUCGGCCCGCGUCUGAUUAGCUAGUUGGUGAGGUAACGGCUCACCAAGGCGACGAUCAGUAGCUGGUCUGAGAGGAUGAUCAGCCACACUGGGACUGAGACACGGCCCAGACUCCUACGGGAGGCAGCAGUGGGGAAUAUUGGACAAUGGGCGCAAGCCUGAUCCAGCCAUGCCGCGUGAGUGAUGAAGGCCUUAGGGUUGUAAAGCUCUUUUGUCCGGGAAGAUAAUGACUGUACCGGAAGAAUAAGCCCCGGCUAACUUCGUG